GACGAACGCUGGCGGCGUGCCUAAUGCAUGCAAGUCGAACGCAGCGAGCUUGCUCGGCUGCGUGGCGCACGGCUGAGGAACACGUGGGUACCAACCCUGGAGUGGGGGAUACCCCGGAGAAAUCCGGGACAAUCCCGCAUACGGUCGCGAGACGAAAGCCUUCGGGCGCUCCGGGACGGGCCUGCGGCCCAUCAGGUAGUUGGUGAGGUAAUGGCUCACCAAGCCGGUGACGGGUCCCUGGUCUGAGAGGACGACCAGGCAGACUGGGACUGAGACACGGCCCAGACUCCUACGGGAGGCAGCAGCAAGGAAUUUUCCCCAAUGGGCGCAAGCCUGAGGGAGCAACGCCGCGUGGAGGACGAC
rnacentral:rRNA from 1 species